rnacentral:tRNA from 1 species
GUAGUGGUGGUUCAGUGGUAGAAUUCUUGCCUUCCAUGUGGGAGACCCAGGUUCGAUUCCCAGCCAAUGCA